CACAGAACUUUGGUCAGAGAAAACGACACCAUGAUCAUUUUCUUGUGCAUAAGCUUUCAUUUUCUUCUGGUUUCAGGUUCCUCUCUAAGUGACCGAGUUUUUCAGACUCCAGACCACAUUAGUAAAGAACCUGGAGAAGAAGCCAAAAUGAACUGUUCCCACACUAUUCAGGGCUACGACCGGAUCCUGUGGUACAAGCAAACGAGGAACAGCCCGCCGCAGUUCCUGGGACACGUGUACGUGACCGUAGUGAAUCCAGAGCCUGGACUGGAUGUGCAGAUGGAAGGAAGCGCGAGCGAAGGCCAGACCUGCACAUUAACGGUUAAAGAUCUCAGCCCAAACAGCAGCGCCGUGUAUUUCUGUGCUGUCAGACUACACGAUGCUACAUACCACCUCUCCUCAGUACAAAAACCUCCUUAUCUGUGUUUUCCGUACAGCUCUCAGUCCUUUGCACCUGUUCGAACUCCUUCUAAUCAACAGAGUGUUUCCUCCUUUAAGGGGAGGUUCCUGCUGUGA